rnacentral:misc_RNA from 1 species
GGUGAGCAAUGUUUUUCACUUUUCAUGAGAGAUUUUGGGACUUGAUGUGCCUUUUACUUGGUAUUUGAGGUCUAUUGUGUUUUAAUAUUUGCUUUAAUAUUGGUUUCCCAUGUUAUUUGGUCUAAGAAUGCAAAAUGGAAAAAAUUGGAUCAAAGCCUUGAAAAAUCGGAAAUGACUUGCAACUUAUGGAUAAAACAUUUUCUGUAUAAGCAGUUAAUUAGACGUAUUUGGAGUCUUGAAUGAUUAUGAUACUUUGUUCUCUAAACUACAUUCCUUCCUGCCCCCCUUUCUUUUAUGUGGUUAUGCAUCAUUAGUGGUGUAAUGCAUCAUAUAUGUUAAAAUUUUCAUAUUAAUUUGCUUUUUUCCUUAAAAAAUAAAAUAAAAUCCAUGAUCAUGGAAAUUCUGAAGUUAGUUAGAGGAGAAUUAAGUGGAGAAUCUGUUAAACCAAUUUGAUCACUUUUUUGACAAGUUAAUAUUUGCAAAUUAGUGGCUUCAUUGGUGUCAUGUUUUUAUCUUGAGCUGCCAUUCUAUACAUGUGAAUAAACUGAUGGUAUUUAUACAUAUUUAUUGAUUUUACUGGAAAUUUGUAACUUCUUUGCAGAUCCUUUUGAUGAACCAAUAGAACUGCCCAUUUUUUUUUGGGUACUAUUGCAGAAUGUUCAAUUACUACAGCAUUAUCUGGAAAUAGUUUUUCCAACAUCCUUGAGAAAGGAAGGCAGGGUGAUCUUUAAUCC